rnacentral:pre_miRNA from 1 species
AGGAGGAACAGCCCCAGUGGCGGGGCCAGCUCUGGAAACCUGGAUUCAGCCCCGGCAGGAACUCCGGAGCUCUCCGUCUGCAGGGCCUGGAGGCUCCGGGGCGGG